UAACACAUGCAAGUCGAGGGGCAGCAUGGUCUUAGCUUGCUAAGACUGAUGGCGACCGGCGCACGGGUGAGUAACACGUAUCCAACCUGCCGUCUACUCUUGGACAGCCUUCUGAAAGGAAGAUUAAUACAAGAUGGCAUCAUGAGUCCGCAUGUUCACAUGAUUAAAGGUAUUCCGGUAGACGAUGGGGAUGCGUUCCAUUAGAUAGUAGGCGGGGUAACGGCCCACCUAGUCUUCGAUGGAUAGGGGUUCUGAGAGGAAGAUCCCCCACAUUGGAACUGAGACACGGUCCAAACUCCUACGGGAGGCAGCAGUGAGGAAUAUUGGUCAAUGGGCGAGAGCCUGAACCAGCCAAGUAGCGUGAAGGAUGACUGCCCUAUGGGUUGUAAACUUCUUUUAUAAAGGAAUAAAGUCGGGUAUGGAUACCCGUUUGCAUGUACUUUAUGAAUAAGGAUCGGCUAACUCCGUGCCAGCAGCCGCGGUAAUACGGAGGAUCCGAGCGUUAUCCGGAUUUAUUGGGUUUAAAGGGAGCGUAGAUGGAUGUUUAAGUCAGUUGUGAAAGUUUGCGGCUCAACCGUAAAAUUGCAGUUGAUACUGGAUAUCUUGAGUGCAGUUGAGGCAGGCGGAAUUCGUGGUGUAGCGGUGAAAUGCUUAGAUAUCACGAAGAACUCCGAUUGCGAAGGCAGCCUGCUAAGCUGCAACUGACAUUGAGGCUCGA
rnacentral:rRNA from 1 species